CCUACGGGAGGCUGCAGUGGGGAAUAUUGCGCAAUGGGCGAAAGCCUGACGCAGCGACGCCGCGUGGGUGAUGAAGGCCUUCGGGUUGUAAAGCCCUGUCGGGUGGAACGAACGAUCUGGCGGCGAAUAACCGCCGGGUGUGACGGUACCACCGAAGGAAGCCCCGGCUAACUACGUGCCAGCAGCCGCGGUAAGCCGUAGGGGGCGAGCGUUGUUCGGGUUUAGGGGGCGUAAAGAGUCCGUGGGCGGCUCCCUCGGCUUAACCGAGGUCCCGCAUCCGAUACUGUCUGGCUCGAGUCUAGGAGAGGAAGGCGGAAUUCCCAGUGUAGCGGUGAAAUGCGUAGAUAUUGGGAGGAACACCGGUGGCGAAGGCGGCUUUCCGGACUAGUACUGACGCUGAGGCGCGAAAGCUAGGGGAGCGAACGGGAUUAGAUACCCCGGUAGUC
rnacentral:rRNA from 1 species